rnacentral:rRNA from 1 species
UACGUAGGGGGCAAGCGUUGUCCGGAUUUAUUGGGCGUAAAGAGCGUGUAGGCGGCCAAACAGGUCAGCUGUGAAAACUCGAGGCUCAACCUCGAGACGUCGGUUGAAACCGUCUGGCUAGAGUCCGGAAGAGGAGAGUGGAAUUCCUGGUGUAGCGGUGAAAUGCGCAGAUAUCAGGAAGAACAUCCGUGGCUAAGGCGGCUCUCUAGUACGGUACUGACGCUGAGACGCGAAAGCGUGGGGAGCGAACAGG